UAUAUUUAUAAAGUCAAAGAUAUGUAUAUAUCCCCCGAUUUCUCUGCCCGCCAUUGAUUUCUUCUGUUCCGGCGAGUAAAAAAACCCUAAAAUCAAAGCCUAUCGACACCUCGGUCCGGAUGAUUUCCUGCCCAGGUCUCAUGUCCGCACUCUGUUCCGGAAGAAUCUAGGGAUUUUGUUUUCUUAUGCUAAUGGGUUUUUGUUCCGGGUAUUUCGGGAAAUCCUCGGUUUAACUUGGCUUUGAACAGCGUUUGCUCGUGUUCAAUGCCAUCUAUUUUGUAAUUUCAGGCUGAUAAUUGUGAAGAAUAAACGGAUCGUGAUAUCUGGAUUCCGCGAAAAUGUCCGAGUUCGACGACGAAGCUCUGGCGACUGCGUUGUUCUGGGAAUAUAUCGAGAGUAUAGAAGCGGAAGAACUGGAAUCAGAUCUGGUGUUGGGCGGAGAUGUGGACGAUGAAUGUGUACGUAUGGAAAGAAGAAUAUGAAAAAGGCACGAGAUUUUCUCUUCCUGCAUGUCAUGCCAUCACGGAUAUGAGAGUUUGGAUCUCUAGACCAAGAGAAAUUUUUAAAUAUGAUUGUGGGAACACAAAGUUUGGGGCUUUCGCAUGGAGGCUUCUCCCAAGCAAAGAUGCAGAAAAUUCUGAGAGUUCUUACAAUCACAAUUUCAAAGGUUUGCUGUAUAUGUGAGGACUAGUUUCAUGAGGAAAAUCUGUCUGAAAUCCACCGAUGAUGUCAGAAGCCAGAUUCCGAGGACGGAGAUCCUGUGUAUGAAGAUUUCAUUUGCAAAGGGUGCUCGCCGGUUUGUUCUUUUCUGACGCUUCGUUGCGAAAACUUACGGGUAGCUCAGAUGGGAUCCACUGGUUUUGCCAAUGUUUGUUCAGACAAAACCAAGGUUAAAGGAAGCAUGUCCAAAGUCUGAACCUGACAAGCUUGAGAAUGGUAGGGCACAUGGAAAAAAAAAAAAAAAACUGUUGCUGGAGAAAGCUCCCAGAAGAAGGACUACUCGAAAACUAUCCCUAGGACUGGUUGCCCUUUCCCUGACAGAUCCAGAAUCUUGUCCUUUUGAGAGCAAACCUCUGUUUCUGUCCAAAAACUGGAGGAAUACCCUAUGCAGAUGUGAGAAAAGCUUGGAAAUGUACAGAGGAACGUUGGGUAUUUACUUGACGUGGAGGACACAAUAUCUGAGUAUGAGAAGAGAGCAUGAGGGUGAAACUUUAAACCUUGUUAGCAUUCUCGACCCAUGUGUAGCCAAAAUGGAGAUUCUUCGUGGCAUCGAGGACAUAUAUAAGAAGAGUUUCGUGGUCUACUGGUACGUAAUCUGGGCAUCUCGAAAGGAUAAAAGUUAGUGAAUUUAUGUUUCAUUGUGUAUUAUUAUAGUUCAAAGAACCAGAUCAUGACCAGAAGCUCUGUUUCCUUCAUAUUCAUCCUUUUUUGCAAGAAACUUUUUGUUAUUUGAUCCCUUCAAGGUAAAGAAUCGUUUGAAAUGGUGGUGGUGAUA